rnacentral:rRNA from 1 species
UACGUAGGGUGCGAGCGUUGUCCGGAAUUAUUGGGCGUAGAGGGCUCGUAGGCGGUUUGUCGCGUCGGGAGUGAAAACUUGGGGCUUAACUCCGAGCUUGCGGUCGAUACGGGCAGACUUGAGUUCGGCAGGGGAGACUGGAAUUCCUGGUGUAGCGGUGAAAUGCGCAGAUAUCAGGAAGAACACCCGUGGCGAAGGCGGCUCUCUGGGACGGUACUGACGCUGAGACGCGAAAGCGUGGGGAGCGAACAGG